rnacentral:rRNA from 1 species
GACGAACGCUGGCGGCGUGCUUAACACAUGCGAGUCGAACGGAAAGGCCCUGCUUUUGUGGGGUGCUCGAGUGGCGAACGGGUGAGUAACACGUGAGUAACCUGCCCUUGACUUUGGGAUAACUUCAGGAAACUGGGGCUAAUACCGGAUAGGAGCUCCUGCUGCAUGGGGGGGGUUGGAAAGUUUCGGCGGUUGGGGAUGGACUCGCGGCUUAUCAGCUUGUUGGUGGGGUAGUGGCUUACCAAGGCUUUGACGGGUAGCCGGCCUGAGAGGGUGACCGGCCACAUUGGGACUGAGAUACGGCCCAGACUCCUACGGGAGGCAGCAGUGGGGAAUAUUGCACAAUGGGAGGAAGCCUGAUGCAGCAACGCCGCGUGCGGGAUGACGGCCUUCGGGUUGUAAACCGCUUUCGCCUGUGACGAAGCGUGAGUGACGGUAAUGGGUAAAGAAGCACCGGCUAACUACGUG